rfam:Triticum aestivum genome assembly, contig: Triticum_aestivum_CS42_TGACv1_scaffold_432938_5DL
AGCUUACUCCCUCCGUCCGGAAAUACUUGUCCUAGAAAUGGUUGUAUCUAGACUUAUUUUAGUUAUAGAUACAUCCAUUUUCAACCAUUUUAAGACAAGUAUUUCCGGACGGAGGGAAUAUUUA